UCGAAGAGGUGAAGCUUUUAAAAUGUGCAAC
rnacentral:piRNA from 1 species